rnacentral:rRNA from 1 species
GACGAACCGAGCGAACGUUGUUCGGAAUCAUUGGGCGUAAAGCGCACGUAGGCGGUUCGUUAUGUCGGAUGUGAAAGCCCUCGGCUUAACCGGGGAAGUGCAUCCGAAACUGGCGAGCUUGAGUACUAAAGAGGGUCGCGGAAUUCCCGGUGUAGAGGUGAAAUUCGUAGAUAUCGGGAGGAACACCAGCGGCGAAGGCGGCGACCUGGGUAGAUACUGACGCUGAGGUGCGAAAGCGUGGGGAGCAAACAGG